AUGCACGCUGGCGGCGUGCCUAAUACAUGCCAGUCGAGCGAACAGACGAGGAGCUUGCUCCUCUGACGUUAGCGGCGGACGGGUGAGUAACACGUGGAUAACCUACCUAUAAGACUGGGAUAACUUCGGGAAACCGGAGCUAAUACCGGAUAAUAUAUUGAACCGCAUGGUUCAAUAGUGAAAGACGGUUUUGCUGUCACUUAUAGAUGGAUCCGCGCCGCAUUAGCUAGUUGGUAAGGUAACGGCUUACCAAGGCGACGAUGCGUAGCCGACCUGAGAGGGUGAUCGGCCACACUGGAACUGAGACACGGUCCAGACUCCUACGGGAGGCAGCAGUAGGGAAUCUUCCGCAAUGGGCGAAAGCCUGACGGAGCAACGCCGCGUGAGUGAUGAAGGUCUUCAGAUCGUAAAACUCUGUUAUUAGGGAAGAACAAAUGUGUAAGUAACUAUGCACGUCUUGACGGUACCUAAUCAGAAAGCCACGGCUAACUACGUG
rnacentral:rRNA from 1 species